rnacentral:rRNA from 1 species
UACGAAGGGGGCUAGCGUUGCUCGGAAUCACUGGGCGUAAAGCGCACGUAGGCGGACUCUUAAGUCGGGGGUGAAAUCCUGGAGCUCAACUCCAGAACUGCCUUCGAUACUGGGAGUCUUGAGUUCGGGAGAGGUGAGUGGAACUGCGAGUGUAGAGGUGAAAUUCGUAGAUAUUCGCAAGAACACCAGUGGCGAAGGCGGCUCACUGGCCCGAUACUGACGCUGAGGAGCGAAAGCGUGGGGAGCGAACAGG